GGCCCCCCACUGACAUGAGAAGGGGCGACCGGUCCCAGGGCCCUUCUGGCUCUGGCUGACUGGAGGAGCCCAGGGCAGUGACCAGGUGCGGCCCGGACUCGGGGCUGCCGGUGACCCCCCACCUGCUACCAUUGCUAAUCGAGCGCCGGGUCGCUAAGGUCACCCGGGGCGUGGGGCCUGCAUGGGAAAGGCGGGGAGGGAGGGGACCGGGCUGGGCCGGGGAGCCAGUACCCCUCCCCGUGACGUGCGCCGGCGCUCAGGGCUUCCCCGGGCACAGACGUCCUUCCCGCGGGACCUCCCCAAGUGCCCUUGGAUCCUCUCCGCGCUGUCGCUGUCGGGGCCUCCCCUCCAGAGACCCUGGCUGUCGGGUGGGCGUGGUGCCCACGGCUCACAGACACGGGACACAGGACUGAUGCGUGGCGACCGCGUCCCCGGCUGCAGGUGCCGCCGCGCAGGGGUCACCAGGGACGCGGCGGCCUCCUGUUCCUUCCCGGCUGGGGGGGCAGGUGUGCCCGCCCACUUUCACUUACACACGACCCUGACGAUCACACCCACCCACGCCCUCACGCACCUCACACAAGCGCCUGCUCAUUCUUUCUCACCCGCGUUUCACACUUGCAGGCGCAUACACCCACCCACUCGCCCGCCUCCCGCACGCAAUCACGCGGCCCGCUGGCACACGCGUCCCCGCCUGCGUCCCGCACACGGAGAACCAGGGCGCCCCCCGUGCCGUGUCCCUCCUGGUCCCCGACUCUGUGCACCAGGCGGCUGGCUGACACCCACAGCUAUGCGGGGCCCAGAAGCCGGCCGACCCCGUAGGAGCUCAGGCCGCUGUAGGAGCCACGCCUGGCCACAGCCCCCGAGGACCGCCCUGCCCGCUCGGUCGCCCGCCGAGGUGAAAUGACAGCCCCUGCCCCGGGCUCGGAGGACGAUGUGGAGGGCGGGCCGGAGCCUCGGAGCCCGCAGGCCUGGGCCGGGUGGAGGCGGCGAGCCAUGGGGACACUUGUACACUGCUAGGCUGGAAACACAAGUCAGAAAGACUGAACUGAAGUAGCCUCUGGGCACCGGAGGGAGAAAUUAAAAGUACCAGAAUGGACGAAGAGCCACAGCUGCCCGGAAGUAGACCACAGAGGCCUCCGAGCGCGGGUCGCACCGACUUCCUGGUGAUUCGGUGGCCGGGAACCAGGCGAGGGCCGCGCGCGCGCCCCCUGGCGGCUCCACGGAGCACCUGCAGCGCGCCGCCACUCCGUCCUGCAGGGAGCGCCAUGGCCGCGUCACGGUGGCAACCUCUCCCAGCCGGUGACCGCGUGCCUAGCAGGCAAACUGCUCCUACCCCGCCGAGCCCCUGCCCACGGGUGCCGGGGCCCCACUUCGGGCGCCCCAGGCUACAUCUUGGGUCUUGUAAUUACAGAGAGCGGAAGUUAUACAAAGGCGCCUGUACUAGGACCUGAUUUUGCACAGUGCUAACUGCACCUCCGCCGUGCCGCAUUGCUGUGGCCGGAGACACUGAGGGGGAACAGGCCGGGCUGGUUUGGGGGUGCCCAGCGGGGGGCGCUGUGGGGACAGCGCGAGGCAGGGCCGGGGGCCACGGCGGGCCCUGGGGAAGUGGCAGCGAGGCACAGACCGGAGAGGCCCACAUCCGUUAGGCACCCGGGGGUUCUUUUUUUGGUUUUUUUUGGUACCGGGGAUCGAACUUGGGACCUUACUCUUGUACGGCAAGCGGGGCACCACUGAGCUAAAUCCCCCGCCCCAGACGGUUCUUUCUUGACCAACGCAGUGGGCCCUCCCUACACGCACAGCCCCGGGCCGCUCACGUAGAGAAGCCCUUGUCGCGCCUAGGGUCCCCAGCACGGGCCCCGUCUCGCUGUGCUCCCAGCGCGACACAGUGCCGAGCGCAAACAGCCGCAGGUGAACGGCACACGCUUUCCAGGCGCUGUGGUCGGGCCACGGCCGGGAAGGCUGUGCCCCUGCCUGGGGAGCUCUCUCCCACGUCCAGGGUUCAUUGCAAACAAAAGACUUCAGCCAAAUUAAUUAUGGACGAGUAAAAAUCCCUAAAACAUUUAGGACAACCAUGAUUUAAAAAAAAAAAUUCAGGUCUAAAUUGCCCGACCUUAAAGAACAAGGCCAGUAUAAUUGAAUAUUAUAGUAAUGGAUAAAUUGGCCAUAAAUUGUCAAUGACAAUUAUUUCUCAGCUGCCACAUAUAAACAUGGUUUUUCAAAUAAGCUUUAAAGGCAAAAGGGGCAGAAAGAUGAAACAUUAAAAGCUCAUAUAUAAACUACCGGUAGGUUUUAGUUUUCGAAAAGAACAAAAAAGAUAGGCUGUUAUUAUUUUCCAAAUAAGGACUGCCAAGUAUCUUUUCUUCCUGAAGAAAUUACUAAGAAAUAUACCCAAUCACUAAGUAGCUGCACAUUAAAUCAUUCUGUUCUGACGCUUGCAUGGAGUCCAGUGUAAUUAGAUCACUUCAUAAAAGGGAGAUUCUCAUGCGGAAUGAUUUAAGUAACUCACUGAUUCUAAUUUGGUUGUCGUGGGAGGAGACCCAGGGAUCAAAAUGUUUUAAACUGCAUUUUGCUGGGGAUUUAGCUCAGUGGUUCCGCCACCUGCCUCACAAGUGCAAGGUCCCAAGUUCGAUCCCCGGUACCAAAAUAAAGAAAUAAAUAAAAUUAAUGCAAACAAAAGAAAAAAACAAAAAUUAUUUAAAAAAAAUAAAAAUAAAUAAACUCUGCAUUUUAAUAUUUAACAAAGACUCAGAACCACUGAGUCAACUAAUUUUGAAAUAAGAUAAAUGGAAAAUUGGGGAGGAGGGUUUAUGUGUGUAAUUCACAAAUCAAAUACCCACUGUAUAUUUAGUGUGUGCUUAAUUUUAUUUAUGAACCAUCCAUUUAUAAGAUGAAAAGCUCUUCAUUUUUCGUUACACUAGACCACGAUUGUACAGCUUUGCCACUGAGUUUUCCUGUUGUCAAGAUUUAAAUUCUGAGGUGCAGUAUGAGAACUGCACUCAUGAAAACAAAACAGCUGCUGCUCAUGUGCAACAGCCCCAAGCAAGACUACUGCAUUUGGCUCCUUAAGUGACCCUUAUUUUGAGAAUUAUAAACAGGUAAAAAAAACCCCACAUAAAGAACAGAUGGUGGAUUAGUGUAGAAAAAAUUUAGCUUACUCAAUUUACUGUUUCAACACCAAAAAUUUAACUUGGGUGAAAGUUCUGAAACAGUCGAGACAUUGAACUAGGAAGCUAUAGCUUUUGAUAAAAUGUUGAUACACCCUGAAAAGCUACUGUAGCUGUAGCUAUACUAAAAUAAGACUUUCACGGUUAACUUCCCCUGUAGUGUGAGAAUAAAGCACAACAACAACCUCUAAUAAUUUUACAAUUAAAUUAAGCCAGUAACUCUUCUAUUACUUUGCUCUCAACAUUUUAAAGACAUCAAUUAAUUUUGAAGAUAUACAAUUUAAGAACAGGAUCCCAUCAAUAACAACCCCAUUUUGUGGUGGAUGAAAGACACAUUCAACUAUGCAAUCCAGUGUUCAGUACCUAAAUGAUAAAUAACAAUGCUGACUGACCUUUGCUCUGAAAAAUCACUGAAAACCAAGAUGAUACUGUGAGACUCACAAACAUGCAAAGAUAAACAUUUCUAUUUUUCCUGAAGAAAUGUUACAAAAUGCCCACUUUUUUGUAGGAUUGAUUUUUAUGUCACAUUCUUUAUAUUUUUCAAUCCAUCAUCUUCUCUUUAGCAUCUGUCAUCUAAAUGUAUUUUAAAGUACAGAUAUUCCUGUAAGUUGUGACUGGAGAUGAACUUUAACUCUUUAAUUUCAGCUUUUAAGAAGAUCUCAGUCAUAGCCAUAUCUAGUUGCUGCCUUUUAGUAAAAUAGUGACAUUUGGUGGACAAGUGACAGAAUCUUUCACAGUUUCCAUCUGACUUGUAAACAAGUUUUCAUUGCUGAAUCCAGCUCAUUUUGUGGGGACGUGGUGCUGCACACUUGUGAUCCCAGCACUUGGGAGGCUGAAGCAGGCCAGCCUAGGAUACAUAGUUCAAGACUGGUUUGAACUACAUGAUGAGACCCUGACUCAAAAAACAAACAAACAAGUCCAACUCAUUUUGACAGUAUGCAGAUUCUUUUUUAUUUUUACUUUUUUGAGGCAGGGUCUCUCUUUGUAGUUCAGGCUGGCCCUGAACUCACUGUGUAGCCCAGGAUGGUCUCAAACUCACGGCGAUCCUCCUGCCUCGGCCUCCCAGCUGCUGGGAUUUCAGGUGUGGGCCACCAUGCCCGGCUCAGUGUGCAGAUUCCUACACUGCCUUAUAACUUUGGUACAUCUUAGUGUAACCUCUCCUUCCUAUUUAAAUCCACUUCCUUUUGAGCUUAUAAAAUGCACAGCUCUUGAGUCUCGUGAGGUUAAAGGUGUCACUUGCUCUUCCUUGCUUCUGUGGUAUCCCACCACUGACAAUUGGCUCCUUUCUACACGUGGAGGAGUUGAAACCUGAGAACCAGAUCUAAAUACGAAUGAACACUGAAGAAAAUUUGCAAAGAUGACAUCUAGAAUUAUUUUACAUUCCUAAUUUAAGAUAUAUUUUUGAAUAUAAGAGAUAUGAUCAGUAAUAAAUCACAUCCUCUUGCCUCAUUGCUCAACUAUGAAAGAAUGCAGUUUGGCAAUGCUGAUUUCAGUGUUUAAACACUUAUGAGUCAGUAUCAAUGUAUGCCCAUUGCACAUUAUAUUUCAAUUCUUCAUCUCUGCAGAGCUCUGUUUCACCCUAGGUUAUGCAUGUUAGGUGUCCAUUCAAAGUAUAAAACGCAGCAGUGUCAUCCCAUCAUUACUGGAACGUCUGCAGGUCUCAGCAAGGGCUGUUGGGUCACAUGGGUGGAUGACCUUGUGCUGCAUUGUGUCACAUGGCCUCAGUUCCUCUCACGGGGACACCAGACAGGUGAACAAUGGCCCACUACCAAAUGAUGUUACUUUGACUAGGGAUCGGAGGAUGUUAUCCUAAUAAACAUUAUUAGCAGAUCCUAAAAAUAUUCAGGAAUAAAUAUGACAAGAACAGUUAUUGCAUGGAUUUUUUUUUUUUAGUACCGGGGAUCGAACUUGGGACCUUGCACUUGCAAGGCAGGUGGCGGGACCACUGAGCUAAAUCCCUGGCCAUGAAUGGAUAUUAUUUAUAUAUGCAUGUAAUGUGCAAAAAAGGAUAUGAAUAUAUAGACACGUGUCUCACAUUACAAAAGAUUAUUCAACAAGGAUAAAUGGCAGGGUAUAUUGGUUUGUGGAGAGAAAAUUCCGCUACUCCACUUUAAAAAGUUACCUCCAAAGUUAAUGGGUAAAUUCAAUACCCUGUUUUCUUAAAGUCAGAGUAUAACAAGCUAUGUCUAGAAGUCUGAACAUCAUAUAUCAGAGAAGUUCUGCAAGACUAGCUUCAGGAGUGUAGCACAAGGCAAAUGUGAGAAGCAGAAGUAAACAGCUAUAAAGACACACUAUUGCUGGGGAUGUAGCUCAGUGGCACCACACCUGCCUCGAAAGUGCAAGGUCCUGAGUUCGAUCUCCAGUAUGGCAAAAACAAAACAAAACAAAAAACCAUACUAUUACAGGCAUAUUAAAUGCCUGAUAUGUUCUGAAGAGAAUA
ensembl:lncRNA